GUGUUUGUUGUAUUACUAUUUAAACGUUUUUGCCUGUCUGAAAACAUACACUAAAAAGUAUUUGAACAAAAUAAGGCUGGGCAUGGUGGCUCAUGCCCAUAAUCCUAGCCCUUUGGGAGGCCUAGGGGAUAAGGAAAGGGCUGACAGCUGCUGCACAACUGGUGAAAACCAUGGGUAGCAAUAGCAGCCUCCUGUUGUAGGGGAAAAAACAGCAUAGACAUAGACUAUUUCCAAUAACCCCACCCCAACCCCCAGGGUCCUGGAG
rnacentral:lncRNA from 1 species